rnacentral:misc_RNA from 1 species
AAAAUGCGAUAAGUAAUGUGAAUUGCAGAAUUCCGUGAAUCAUCAAAUCUUUGAACGCACAUUGCGCCUUCUGGUAAUCCGGGAGGCAUGCCUGUCUGAGCGUCAUUACACCAUUCAAACCUAUGCUUUUUGGCUACUGGUUUGGUUUUGGAAGGUUUUAGACCCGUGUCGAUCUUAGAUCGAAAAAGGGGUCUUCUUCUGUAAUGUAUUGACGAAAUGCCUACUGUCUUUCUUAGUUGUAGCAAAGAAAUUACUUCUCUCUCAACUUCAAGAUAAAACAAUAGGAUUGUCCUAGCUUUUUGAACUUCUUUUCGGUUACGAAAAGAAUUCUCUUACAAGUUUGACCUCAGAUCAGGUAGGAAUACCCGCUGAACUUAA